CACUGAAGAAAUCAACACAAAAACCUCUGAAGAAGACACGGAGUGCAACUUCCUUCUUCACAAAAUGCAAACAGAUGUCAGAUUUUAGUGGUUGUAGGAUUUAUUUAUUUUUUGUUGGUUUUUGGCAAAUAUGCCAAACAAACUCUCUUCAACAAUGAGUUCAGCAUGAGAGGAAGACGAGGCAGAACCGUGGAGAAUAUUGUUUUUUGCUGAGACGACUCCAUGUGAGGCGGCGUUCGCUGAGAAGGAGCGAGUCCAACUUCACAGCCAUGAUGUCCACCUGAUACAGACACCCAGCGAGUUCUCCUGUCUUCACGUGCAAACUCAAUGAAACAGUUGAUACUCUUCCUGACACAACCUGAAUUUGAUUCUGCAGCCUCAGGAUGAAUUCAGUGAUUUUGCAGCAGGAACUGAAGUAAAACAGUUUUUUUAAAGUGAAAACAAAAAGGACAAACUUUAACCAAGGCAUCACUGAUGCAGCAACAGGUGUCAUUUUGCCUCUGCAGCCCKUGGGUCCACAAACGAAUUGCUCUGACCAGCAGAGAGAGGAGGACUCUGUCAUGUAACAACACAAGUGGUGCUGGAAGUGUAUGAGGAAAAGCAWAGAAGCAGAAAUAAACUCUGCAGCACUGAAGUAAAUCACUGAGAGCACAGCUGAAUGAUUAAUGCUUCUUUUACAGCAGAGGAGCUGAAAUCCUGCGCAGAGUACAAGCUCACCUAAUUGGCAUUAAGAGGAAGAAAUGGUGCACUUAUGAACACGUGUUUCCUGUUGGCUUGAACCAUAAAAACCCAUUCAGUGUGGACCCUAAUCCCACCUGCAUCAGCAAACGGGUUGAAAACUGAUAAGAUUCAGAUAAUUGAUGAUUUACAUUCAAAGUGAUGUGAAAAUGAAAAGAA